GCGACUGCAAGGAAAGGGAAGGGUCGUUAGCGCGGCUCUCCACGGACAUCCUUGACCCGGCGAGAGCCUCGGCGCGGCAGGCUGACGUCUAGGAGAUCGACGGACAGACUGACGGCUGCGAUGGACAAGUCCCUGCAGUGUGACGCACGCGAAGCUUCAGGUGCCGCCUCUUCUGCCCGGUCCGCACCGGAGGUCGUCCCCAGCACGUCACGAACGGCUCAGCGCCAGGAAAAACACCCAUCGGUGGACGCUGGUGGUCGGGAAAGGCGCCCGCUCGCCGGGAUGCCGCGCAGGGGCUUCUGCGGUGACGGGCUGCAGAAGGUGGACCCAUGCUCUGGUCUGUAUCUAAAUAUACAUCUCUUUUCUUAUGGAA